UUUACAAACAACCGAUUCUAGUGUACUUCGUUCGUUCGAUUAAACUAAGUGUACAGUGAAUUAAAAGUAUAGAAAAUCAAGUGUAGAAAGCGACCAUGAAGCGUUCAUCUUCAUCAGAUAGGUCUUCUUUGGGGCCGUUGAGGAUACGAAAUGAAGAAAGUUCGAGAAACAGUAGAAAUUCAGUAUCAAGUUCAGCUCGACCAUCUAAAAGUGGCCGAUCAUUGUCUGGUAACAGAAUGUCCACUGGUAGAUGACCUUCAAUAGGACCAUCAAUUUCAAACAGUCGACCAUCUAUGUCUGGUAGUAGAAAGUCUAUGUUACAGAUUCCUAGGUUUGGUCAAGCACAAAAAAGCAGGUUGUCUAGAGGAAGUGGUAUAGGAAUGAGAAGUAAUGGUGUCCCAAAAGAUCCAAGACCAGUGUCAGACAAGUCUUAUCAGCAAAAAUCUAUAAAGAUAGUAUUAGAGUUUUUAACUGAGCGAGGAUAUCCACAUAACAUUACAUUAAAAACUUUGCAGUCCCCAACAUCAAAAGAUUUCUUCAAAA